rnacentral:rRNA from 1 species
UACCAGCACCCCGAGUGGUCGGGACUUUUAUUGGGCCUAAAGCAUCCGUAGCCGGUUCUACAAGUCUUCCGUUAAAUCCAUCUGCUUAACAGAUGGGCUGCGGAAGAUACUAUAGAGCUAGGAGGCGGGAGAGGCAAGCGGUACUCGAUGGGUAGGGGUAAAAUCCGUUGAUCCAUUGAAGACCACCAGUGGCGAAGGCGGCUUGCCAGAACGCGCUCGACGGUGAGGGAUGAAAGCUGGGGGAGCAAACCGG